UGUUUACUUUGUUACUUUUCCCAGUAGAUCCUACUGGCCUGGACUUUUUUAUUCAAUUUUCUUUACAAAUGUAGAGAAUAGGCUCUAAAUUUACAAACGGAAUACCAAGGAUUAACCUGAGUUUACAAGUUGGGUACUUCAUACCAGACAACAUAGUAACUUUUCAAAAACUGGCUUAAUUAGAAAAAUGCAAAGUGUUCAGUCGUAUCACUACACUACACUACACUACACUACACUGCAUGUUCGGUUGAAUUGUUAUCCUCGUGUAGCAGGUAACGCCUAGUGAAAUUGUGUAGUAUGCUGCUCGGAGCGCAAACCACGUGACAUUUGUUGCGCGAGUGAACUCGUGUUCAUUCAGUGGGCAGUAGUUGGAGGACAAAGAACGAAGACGAAGAUUAGUAGGAGGAAGAUAUGAGAAUACUUCUAUUCCAAUGGCUGUGAGCAUGAAAUAAUGUGGCUUUGUGAUGAAGACCUCUUCCAUGAAUCGAUCAACCACAUGUAUAUCUUUAAUUAAAGAUGAGAGUGCCUCUAUUCCGAUGGCUGUGAGCUUGAAAUCACCUGGACAUCUUUUAUGAGUCAAUUAACCGCAUGUACACCUCCAGUUAAAACUGUUUAGUAUAUAAUGGGUCAUCUACACUAAAAAACCUUGCAAGCUCGCAAAAGUCUGCCACCACUUCAGCUGACUUGGUGAUGAUGGUGAAAAUUGCAGUUCCUGAAAAUCCCCAUGUUGAUGACCUAGCAGUAAGAGUAUCUCAGCAGAAAAUGUACAUUCCUUAAUAUGUAUCUUCAUUCUCUAAGCUAGUGAGACAAUGAUUGGUUAUCUCCAUCCAGAAAUGAAAGAACUACAAUAACUGUGGAAGUUUUUAGGGAAGCAUGUACAGACCAAGGUUAUCUCAUCUGCCGGAACCAUCACUCAAGUCCCUUUUGAAGGAAAACUAACGUCCAGACAGGGACCUGGCUCUGCGUAUAGGUACUCGUACAUUUCUUCAUGACAAUCCUGACAUUCCAGAAGAGACCAUUAGAAAGUUUUUCAGUUGUGGCUCUUGCAAGAAGGUUUACUCAUGAUGUCCCUUGUGACCCGCUGGUAGAGAAGUACUCAGAUUACAAAAUCAGCCCAGAACCUGAUCUGCCAAAAUUCAGCAAUAGGGUUUACACCAUUGGAUACAUUCAGGCUCAAUAUGGAAGACAUCAGACUUAUAGAUGGGAACAAGAGAUUCAAGAAGCUUCAAGCCAUUGCCUUAGUCAUACUGUCUUUACCAAUAAGCAGUGCCGAUUUAAAGAAAUGCUUCUCAACAGUGUUAGAUACAAUAAAUCGUUUCUAGUACGAAGUAUCACUAAACAACACCGCAUGUACGGUUGAAUUGUUAGCAGAUGACGGCUAGUGAAAGUGUAGUAUGUGGACCAAAGUGCCAAUCAUGUGGCAUUUGUUGCGAGUGAACUCUUAUCCGUUCAGUUCAGUAGGCUGUAGUCAGAAGACAAAGAACGAUCACAAGUCUCCGAAGGAAGGCUUAACAGCCAGAGACUUUCGAUAUUCCCGGGAAAUGUGAAAUGGAGCCAGUCUUUGUGUAGAAUUCCAGAGACAUUGUUCCCAUGGAAAGGUGAAAUGGUUCCAUGCAUUUUGUAUGUCUCCUGCAAUUCUUCAAUAUAUUCAGUUAGUAACUAUAUUAUCUUUUAGUUGUGUCUUUAGCAAGAAGGUUUACUCAUGAUGUCCCUUGUGACCCGCUGGUAGAGGAGUACUCAGAUUACAAAAUCAGCUCAAAACCUGAUUAGCCAAAAUUCAGCAAUAGGGUUACACCAUUGGAUACAUUCAGGUUCGAUAUGGAAGAUGUCAGACUUGUAAACAGGAACAAGAGAUUCAAGCAGCUUCAAGCCAUUGCUUUAGCCAUUCUGUCUUUACCCUUAAGCAGUGCUGAUUCAAAGAAACGUAGUAGUAGGCUGUAGUCAGAAGACAAAGAACAAUCACAAAUCUUGGAAGGAAGGCUUAACAGCCAGAGACUUUCGAUAUUCCCAGGGAAAUGUGAAAUGGAGCCAGUCCUUGUGUAGAAUUCCAGAGACAUUGUUCCCAUAGAAAGGUGAAAUAUGGUUCCAUGCAUUUUGUAUGUCUCCUGCAAUUCUUCUUUAAUAUCUUCAUUGUGUCCUCUCCUUAGACCAGUUUCCCAGGGAAGUUAUUGAUAAAAAAAUUGAUAUCAACUUGGAAUGAACACACAAUGAAUUGAUCAAAUAAAGUCUCUCGACACUUUCUGCCAACCAUGGAAGAGCUGAAAAUACUGUUGGGAUUUGCCAGCACUUGCACCAUCAGUGUUGAGGUUUCCACAAAACAACUGUACUCGGAGCGUUGCUCCUCUCUGGUCAGAAAUAUUCAGAGAGAAGACAGAAGUUACUUAUCAAUAAACUCUUUUCUGUCAGUUUGUCGUAAUUGGUCAGAUACUGAAUGUUACCAUGGAUCUGCUGGAAGCUUGAAAGAUAUAGAUAUAAAACAUGUUGAGCACCACAUUAGAGAAUGCUUAAGUGUGACAGUGAAAUAGACAUUAAAAACAUUGAAAUUAAGUGCCUAAUUAGUGAUGGUUGAAGGCAGACAUUAAAACUUACUGAUUAAGGAUAUUCAAAUGUGACAGUGAAGUACACAAACUUUAUCUAAUAGGCUUCAGCUGUUUAAAUGACCUGCAGGGAUGAGACAUAUUUUGUUUCACACUGGUAAAUAUUCUAGUAAUUGACAUCUAGUAAUUGUCAUCUGCUGCUACAAUAUUAUUGGACUGUAUAGAAAGUUAUGGUCUCGUUUUGUAAAUCUUUGCCUAGAUAAAGAUUGCAGCAACCAGUGAAAUAAUUAUAAUGUAUUUUUAGAUGGUAGUAUGAAAAAAACAACAAAAAAACUACAACUGUUUGGCAGCAUUCCUUCUCUCACAGCACAUGUGUCAAAUUCUCUCAAUGUAUAAUAUGUAGGGUUUAUGUAUAUAUUAUGCUAAUAACUUUGUUAAUUAGUGGACAAGACACAAGUUAUAUCAUUAUAUUAAAUGUAAUAUCUA